ACGCUCGACAUAUAAACGGCUUACGAUGUUUCUGUAUUGGUUUCCUAAACCGAAGGUCACAGGUUCGAAUCCUGUCGGGCGUA
rnacentral:tRNA from 1 species